rnacentral:rRNA from 1 species
UACGGGGGGGGCAAGCGUUGUUCGGAAUUACUGGGCGUAAAGGGUUCGUAGGGGGCCAACUAAGUCAGACGUGAAAUCCCCAGGCUCAACUUGGGAACUGCGUCUGAUACUGGAUGGCUUGAAUUCGGGAGAGGGAUGCAGAAUUCCAGGUGUAGCGGUGAAAUGCGUAGAUAUCUGGAGGAAUACCGGUGGCGAAGGCGGCAUCCUGGACCGAGAUUGACACUGAUGAGCGAAAGCCAGGGGAGCAAACGGG